GUACGCUGGCGGCACGCCUAAACAUGCAAGUCGAACGAAGUAGCAAUACUUAGUGGCAGACGGGUGAGUAACAUGUGGGUAUCUACCCUUUGGCCUGGAAUAACACGAGGAAACUUGUGCUAAUACCGGAUAAGUCUUUACGGAGAAAGCUUUAUGCACCAUUGGAUGAGCCCGCACUUGAUUAGUUUGUUGGUAGGGUAAUGGCCUACCAAGACUAUGAUCAAUAGCUGAUUUGAGAGGAUGAUCAGCCACACUGGGACUGAGACACGGCCCAGACUCCUACGGGAGGCAGCAGUGGGGAAUUUUCCGCAAUGGGCGAAAGCCUGACGGAGCAACGCCGCGUGAGGGAUGAAGGCCUCUGGGCUGUAAACCUCUUUUAUCAAGGAAGAAGAUCUGACGGUACUUGAUGAAUAAGCCACGGCUAAU
rnacentral:rRNA from 1 species